rnacentral:rRNA from 1 species
GACGAACGCUGGCGGCGUGCUUAACACAUGCAAGUCGAACGAUGAAGCCGCUUCGGUGGUGGAUUAGUGGCGAACGGGUGAGUAACACGUGGGCAAUCUGCCCUGCACUCUGGGACAAGCCCUGGAAACGGGGUCUAAUACCGGAUAUGACCACCGACCGCAUGGUCUGGUGGUGGAAAGCUCUGGCGGUGCAGGAUGAGCCCGCGGCCUAUCAGCUUGUUAGUGGGGUGAUGGCCUACCAAGGCGACGACGGGUAGCCGGCCUGAGAGGGCGACCGGCCACACUGGGACUGAGACACGGCCCAGACUCCUACGGGAGGCAGCAGUGGGGAAUAUUGCACAAUGGGCGAAAGCCUGAUGCAGCGACGCCGCGUGAGGGAUGACGGCCUUCGGGUUGUAAACCUCUUUCAGCAGGGAAGAAGCUUUCGGGUGACGGUACCUGCAGAAGAAGCACCGGCUAACUACGUGCCAGCCGCCGCAGUAAAAC